rnacentral:rRNA from 1 species
UAGGGAAUCUUCCACAAUGGGCGCAAGCCUGAUGGAGCAACACCGCGUGAGUGAAGAAGGGUUCCGGCUCGUAAAGCUCUGUUGUUAAAGAAGAACACGUAUGAGAGUAACUGUUCAUACGUUGACGGUAUUUAACCAGAAAGUCACGGCUAACUACGUGCCAG